AACGAACGUUAGCGGCGCGCUUAACACAUGCAAGUCGAGCGAGAAAGGGCUUCGGCCCCAGUACAGCGGCGCACGGGUGAGUAACACGUGGGUAAUCUACCCCUGAGUGGUGGAUAACCCUCCGAAAGGAGGGCUAAUACAGCAUAAGACCACGGCGUCCUCGGAUGUCGCGGCCAAAGCGGGCCUCUUCAUGAAAGCUCGUGCUCGGGGAUGAGCCCGCGGCCCAUCAGCUUGUUGGCGAGGUAAAAGCUCACCAAGGCAAAGACGGGUAGCUGGUCUGAGAGGAUGAACAGCCACACUGGAACUGAGACACGGUCCAGACUCCUACGGGAGGCAGCAGUGGGGAAUCUUGCGCAAUGGGCGAAAGCCUGACGCAGCGACGCCGCGUGAGCGAUGAAGGCCCUCGGGUCGUAAAGCUCUGUGGGGGGAGAAGAAGAAAGCCGGUGAAGAGCCGGCCCUGACGGUAUCCCCUUAGCAAGCACCGGCUAACUCCGUGCCAG
rnacentral:rRNA from 1 species